AGAGUGAUAGUGAUGACUCUACUGAUGAGAGUGAGGUCUUUUGGAAUCUUGUUUUGGGUGGUGCAGAAAUUGCUCAAAUAUAUGUUGAUCUCUACCUUGCUAAAAACCCACCAAGGACAUCUGGUGUUAGUGGUACAGGAUGGCUGCUAGAGACAAUGAAUACUCCUGGAGAAUGCCACAGACAACUUCGUAUGAGCAAUGAAAUAUUUCUAGAUCUCCAUACUAUGUUGGUGGAAAGAUUCAAGCAUUCAGGAGAAACUAUUAGUAGGAAAUUUGAUGAGGUUCUAAAUGCUUUGAUGGCUAUGGCAAGAGAUUUUAUUAGACAAAAAAUCCUAACUUCUCCACAAUCCAUAAAGGAAUAAGAGAUGACAGACGUGCAUAUCCACACUUCAAAGAUUGUAUUGGCGCACUUGAUGGCACUCAUAUCCGUGUUGCACUUUCAUCUGAGGAGCAAGUGAGAUAUAUUGGAAAAACGGGUAUAGCAACUCAAAAUGUUCUAGCAGUAUGUGACUUUGACAUGCGUUUCACUUAUGUUUCCGUGGGAAACCCUGGAGCUAUGCAUGAUACAAGUGUGCUGUACAAUGCACUCAGAGUUGAUAAAGAUUUUUUCCCACAUCCUCCACAAGGAAAAUACUAUGUUGUGGAUGCGGGAUAUCCGAAUCAUCCUGGCUACCUUGCUCCUUACAAGGGUGAAAGAUAUUAUAUACCGGAAUGGCAUAGAGGUACCGAACCUAAGACUCCUAUGGAAAGGUUCAAUCGGGUUCACUCAUCUAUCCGCAAUGUGAUUGAGCGAUCUUUUGGAUUAUUGAAAAUGAAGUGGCCAAUUCUUUGGAAGAUUCCACCAUAUCCCAUGUACAAGCAAAAAAUGAUUGUUGUGGCUACCAUGAUUCUUUACAAUUUCAUUCGUGAGCAUGGAGGUGAAGAUGAAGACUUCGCUCGAUUUGAUCAUGAUCCUAAUUUUAUUCCUACAAUACCGGAAAGAUACAACAAAUAUGCCGUUCCACAAGCGGCGCGCGAUGGUUCAACUUCCGCGGUCAAUGCCCAAACUAUGGAUGCCUUUCGUGAUGAGUUGGCCACAUCACUAUCUAUCGCUUGGAAUUCGUUUGUAAUAAAAUAUUGA